rnacentral:rRNA from 1 species
GAUGAACGCUGGCGGCGUGCUUAACACAUGCAAGUCGAACGGGGUUAUGCAGAGCGGAGAUUUCGGUCAAAGCACUGCAUAACCUAGUGGCGGACGGGUGAGUAACGCGUGGGUAACCUGCCAUAUACAGGGGGAUAACACUUAGAAAUAGGUGCUAAAACCGCAUAAGCGCACAGCAUCGCAUGAUGCAGUGUGAAAAACUCCGGUGGUAUGAGAUGGACCCGCGUCUGAUUAGCUAGUUGGUGGGGUAACGGCUCACCAAGGCAACGAUCAGUAGCCGACCUGAGAGGGUGAUCGGCCACAUUGGAACUGAGACACGGUCCAAAUCCUACGGGAGCAGCAGUGGGAAUAUUGCACAAUGGGGGAAACCCUGAUGCAGCAACGCCGCGUGAAGGAUG